UACGUAGGGUGCAAGCGUUAAUCGGAAUUACUGGGCGUAAAGCGUGCGCAGGCGGUUGUGCAAGACAGAUGUGAAAUCCCCGGGCUCAACCUGGGAAUUGCAUUGUGACUGCACGGCUAGAGUGUGUCAGAGGGGGGUAGAAUUCCACGUGUAGCAGUGAAAUGCGUAGAGAUGUGGAGGAACACCGAUGGCGAAGGCAGCCUCCUGGGCCAACACUGACGCUCAUGCACGAAAGCGUGGGGGAGCAAACAGG
rnacentral:rRNA from 1 species